CCGCGUCAGCGGGCGGAGAGGGCGGGGCCGCGCAGGAAAACAAGUGACCUUUACCUUUGAUAAGUUUUAAUUGGAAAAUACGGCCCUCCUAGAAUGACGACUACAUUUCCCAGACGCCUAUGCGGUUAGUCUCACGUGACUGAGUUCUGACCAAUGAGAACUAAGUGCGGCCUCAUGUGACAGUGUCUAAAACUUCUUCCUGAAAACACCGCUGAAAGAAAUUGAUGAACUCUCAAAACUUUCAUGUCACCUUGAGAGUGACUGGAACCCACAGCUAUGGUACACCUGGGAAGAAACUAUUUGCAGAGAAGACAGAAUCUCUCUGGGCCUAGCUCCUUCCCCCAGACUGGUACACCCCCCCCUCCCCAAGCUGAGUGAAGAUCCAUGCUAACAGCUCACAGAUGGCUCCUCUCCAGAAAAUUCUUUCAACUGAGUGGAAGUAGCCAUGUCUGGGAACUGCAGUCAGUGAAAGGCCAACCUCCUCACCUUGGGGAGGACUGGCUCUGGUGGGCUUUGUGCUCCAGAAUUCUUUCUGUAAACUUUAUUCAUAU